rfam:Cavia porcellus supercont2_10 genomic scaffold, whole genome shotgun sequence.
GGGGAUUUAGCUCAGCCGCAUAAGCGCCUGCCUUGCAAGCAGGUGUCGUGUGUUCAAUCCCCG